GCUGGGCCUGGUGGCGCACACCUGUAAUCCCAGCAACUCAGGAGGCUGAGGUAGGAGAAUCGUAAAUUCAGAGCCAACCUCAG
rnacentral:sRNA from 1 species